GGGGCGGGCGGUGCUUAUACAUGCAAGUCGACGAAGAGCCUUUGUAGCAAUACGAGGGUUUCUUAGUGGCGAACGGGUGCGUAACGCGUUGGUGACCUGCCCCAAAGUGUGGGAUAACAGUUCGAAAGGACUGCUAAUACCGCAUGUGGUCAUCGGGUUUAGAAGCCGAUGACUAAAGCAGUAAUGCGCUUUGGGAGGGACCUGCGUCCCAUCAGCUAGUUGGUGAGGUAAUGGCCCACCAAGGCUUCGACGGGUAGGGGACCUGAGAGGGUGGUCCCCCACACUGGCACUGAAACACGGGCCAGACACCUACGGGUGGCAGCAGUAGGGAAUAUUGGGCAAUGGGCGAAAGCCUGACCCAGCAACGCCGCGUGCACGAUGAAGGUCUUCGGAUCGUAAAGUGCUUUUCUGAGAGAUGAGAAAGGACAGUAUCUCAGGAAUAAGUCUCGGCUAACUACGUGCCAGCAGCCGCGGUAACACGUAGGAGGCAAGCGUUAUCCGGAUUUACUGGGUGUAAAGCGCGUGCAGGUGGUUCGGUAAGUUGGAUGUGAAAGCUCCCGGCUCAACUGGGAGAGGUCGUUCAAAACUACCGGACUUGAGAGCAGUAGAGGGAGGUGGAAUUCCCGGUGUAGUGGUGAAAUGCGUAGAUAUCGGGAGGAACACCAGUGGCGAAAGCGGCCUCCUGGACUGUUUCUGACACUCAGACGCGAAAGCUAAGGUAGCAAACGGGAUUAGAGACCCCGGUAGUCUUAGCUGUAAACGAUGUGAACUUGGCGUCGGCGGGUUCAAAGCCGUCGGUGCCGAAGCUAACGCGAUAAGUUCACCACCUGGGGACUACGGCCGCAAGGUUAAAACUCAAAGGAAUUGACGG
rnacentral:rRNA from 1 species